GAGUUUGAUCAUGGCUCAGAUUGAACGCUGGCGGCAUGCUUUACACAUGCAAGUCGAGCGGCAGGCGCGGGGGCAACCCUGGCGGCGAGCGGCGAACGGGUGAGUAAUGCAUCAGAACGUGUCCCGUAGUGGGGGAUAACCCGGCGAAAGCCGGGCUAAUACCGCAUAUGCUCUACGGAGGAAAGGGGGGGAUCCGCAAGGACCUCUCGCUAUGGGAGCGGCCGAUGUCCGAUUAGCUUGUUGGUGGGGUAAUGGCUUACCAAGGCGACGAUCGGUAGCUGGUCUGAGAGGAUGAUCAGCCACACUGGGACUGAGACACGGCCCAGACUCCUACGGGAGGCAGCAGUGGGGAAUUUUGGACAAUGGGGCAACCCUGAUCCAGCCAUGCCGCGUGCGGGAAGAAGGCCUUCGGGUUGUAAACCGCUUUUAGUCGGGAAGAAAAGGCCUGGGCGAAUACCCUGGGUUUUUGACGGUACCGGCGGAAUAAGCACCGGCUAACUACGUG
rnacentral:rRNA from 1 species